rnacentral:lncRNA from 1 species
CUGAAACCUGGAGACCGGGAACAUACAUUCUCCGAGGAGUCCUGCAGAAGCGCCCGGAGCUGCCGCCCGGUGCUCACACCUGAGCUGAGUUCGGAUGGACUGCUGGGGUCGGAGGGCAGCCGAGGGUGGGAUUCACAACUCUGAGGAGGGCAAGGCUCAACAGGGCCCCUAAAUUAUGAGUUUUACGUUCAGGAACCCCAUCAGAUUCUCAUGGAGAAGAUCUGAGGAAAACCCCAUCAUGUUUCUGGCAGAAGGAGAAGACCAUUCUGAAAUAUGCCCAGAGCUUUCUCCACACAAAAGAGCUACUCUUAAACAAAGAAAACUUCUUUAAAAAUCCCUGUCCUAUGUAGGCAAAGGGCAGUUCGCCAUCUUCAGCCACCUCUACGCACCUGUCUUACCAAGGGGAGAAGAGCAGACUAAGAAACCCUGAGGAAGGUCACAGUGCAGACACACAGGUCACUGAAAACUGAGACUUGGUCACAGCACUGAAAAAUAUUUUUCUCACUGCGUUUUAUCACCAUAGCAACGGGCCGCCCACAUAAUCAUGGCGGACUGCGCUGAUGGAGCUACAAGUAACAGUGUACUUCAGACCAAUUCUACAAAAACAAAAGGCGGGGGCGGGGGGUGUGGACAGGAACAAGGAAGCCAGAAGGAACAAAGACCUCUGGCAACAUCCUUUAGCGAGGGGGGAGUCUAUCCUCUUACCAGGUGAGCACAAAGAUGAGUAUGCCUAUGUUCAGCUGCGAUUUCUUCAACCUGAGUAGCUUGACUACCAAGCAGGGAUACCAGAAGACUGGUAACAACCCAAGAAAAGUGGUGAUGAAAGGAGGUCUGUUUAGCAUGGAUCAUACUUGGGAUUCUCAGAAAUUAAAGAGCAUGGUGGAAACAAAGAUAUUGGCCAUCUACCACUGGAGUCUGGCCAUCCAGUUCCUGCCUGUGUGGAGCACAGAAAUUUAGAAUUCCAUUAAGGUUGUGUUAUGGUUUAUGUCUGUGUGUCCCCCCAAUGCCUCAUGCAGACAUGGGGCAGGCUUUCAGAGUUUCAAUAUGGGUGUGAGAGCUGUACCCGCUCUGGAGUGGAUAGUUUGCAUAUGUAAGGGAGAGGAAAAACGUGCUUGAGGUGAUUCCUCCCCCAUUCCGCCCUGGUGUGUGGUUGUAGCUUAGCUGUGUUCUGCCACCUGAGCUGUUGCCAUGUGCCACUCUGCCUUAUAAUCUGCCAAGUACGGAUUGAAACCUCCACAAACUGUAAGCAAAAUAAACCUUUCCUUCCUUAAGUUUGGGCAUCAGAUAUUUUGUCCCAGCAGCAAGAAAAAAGUAACCAAGACAGGUUGUUAUGACUUGUAUCUACAUGUACCCCUACAGCCUCAUGCAGUCA